UGAAUGGGUUACACAUUGUUAAAAUGCCUUUGAUUAAUGAAGCACCUAUUCGGCAACAGUUUAGCUGCCCUGUAAGCAAUACGUUUAGUUCACCCAAGAAAGGUUAGCCACAUCCAUGGUGUAGCAUAAGAUGGCAAAAGGCUAUGCAGCACUUAUCAAGAAAGCCACUGUGCUCUGUGACAAGUUUAAUGCAGACUAACAGUGUGUGGAGGAUUUCACAGAGGAUGCUUCAAAGGCCAUUGAGAACCUGGAUGCCUUGGAUAAGAAGUUUAUACUUGACAUCAUUUCUGGAUGCAUUGAGCAUAAAAAGUUAUUGGAUGUUGUCAUCAAUGUCUUUUAUGCUCAGAAUGGGAAAUGCUUACUGAAGGCUGAUCGUAACCAGUUUGCCAUAAUCUGUUACUUCAGCAUGUUCCUCCUUGAUGACCUUGGACUUUAAAAAGAUGCACAAAGUAAGAA